rnacentral:tRNA from 1 species
GGGGUAGUGGCUCAGUGGGUAGAGCACUCACCUAGCACAUGUGAGCCUCCUGGGUUCGAUCCUCAGCACCACA